UUCUUUUCCUCCUUCUCUUUUUAUGAUUGGAAAGCAAUUUAAACAUGGUGUUUGGUAAAAUUUAGAGCUGGAACAUCUUUAUCCCCCAGAGGAAAAAUAAAAAACUUAUAGAGAAUUUCAGAAUGAAAGAUGAAAUUUCUGGGUAUGGUUUAUGGAAAAUUGACCACGCAAGACUCUAACUCAUGCAUGAAGAGAAAUCCAUGUGGGAAUAAAAGUCUUUGGCUAGAUGUUCAAAUUUGAGUGAACACAAGGAUGCAACACAGAGU
rnacentral:lncRNA from 1 species